GCCUGGGUGGCUCAGUGGUUGAGCGUCUGCCUUCAGCUCAGGGCGUGAUCCUGGGAUCCUGGGGUCUUGGAAUCGAGUUCCACACCAGGCU
rnacentral:tRNA from 1 species